CCUACGGGCGGCAGCAGUGAGGAAUAUUGGUCAAUGGGCGAGAGCCUGAACCAGCCAAGUCGCGUGAAGGAUGACGGCCCUACGGGUUGUAAACUUCUUUUGUCAGGGAGCAAUUGAGUCCACGUGUGGGCUUAGCGAGAGUACCUGAAGAAAAAGCAUCGGCUAACUCCGUGCCAGCAGCCGCGGUCAUACGUAGGAUCCGAGCAUUAUCCGGAGUGACUGGGUGUAAAGAGUUGCGUAGGUGGCAUAAUAAGUAGCUAGUGAAAUCUGGUGGCUCAACCAUUCAGACUAUUAGCUAAACUGUUAAGCUCGAGACCGUUAGGGGUAACUGGAAUUUCUAGUGUAGGAGUGAAAUCCGUAGAUAUUAGAAGGAACACCAAUAGCGUAGGCAGGUUGCUGGGACGGUUCUGACACUAAGGCACGAAAGCGUAGGGAGCAAACGGGAUUAGAUACCCUUGUAGUC
rnacentral:rRNA from 1 species